GAGCGGGCGCCGCGGGCGGGGCGAUCCGCGGUGGCGCGGAGGCGGGCGCAGCGAGGCGGAGCGGGCGAGGGCGCGGCGUGCGGCUGCCAGGCUGCGGCGGCGCAUCGUCCACAAGGAUGCGUGCAUCGCGCCGAGAUGGCGUCAGCCGGGGACGGCGGCGGCGCGGCUCGCCGUGGCCUCGUCUGCGUGAGGGGAGGCAGCGGCUUCAUCGGCUCGUGGCCUGUCCGCCUCCUCCUCGACCGUCCAAACCACCGUCAAGAACAUGCCCCCUCUCUGCUCCAGGUGCCAGAUGCAACGGUACGAGAUUAUCUCUGGUGAAAACUGCAAUACCUAACAGGUGAAAUGCCGUCGCACCAAUCCGGCCUGGUGCCCAAUUCGCGCCCUCCGCCCGCGGCGCUCCCCACGCUGUCGCACCCAUCCGGCCGGUGGCCAGCCAUACACGCCGCCGGCGCAAGCUGCGCAUCUAGGAGGUCGAGCUAUCUGUGCCUACCUCGGCAAAGGAGCACACAUACAUCCAUGUGGAGGAGCCUGACAAAGCAGCAGCCACCAUACAUCCAUGAUGGAGAUCCAACAAUGAUUCGCCCUGUGAGUGCGGCCGCGCUGUGGUGGAGGAGACGUCGCUGCUGUUUUUCUUCCCAGACAUACUAAAUAUUGCCCACUGCUCAUUCAAGGAACACCACUACCAGGUGAUUGGUGAUCCACUGCCUAGGUAGAAGGGGGGUAUUGCAAUGGCUGAUGCUACCAUUGCCUAUCAAAAUUGCCAUUUAUGGUAUUUCUUUCCCAUACGACCUUUGCUAUCCGAUCCUCACCUUUAGUGGCACUUACCUGGUGCUUAUAAGAAAUUCUUUUAGCCCAGUCACGUCUCAGAUCUAAUUUUGCACCAUCAACCAAGUCGGCUAGGAGUUAAGUGGGUGAGACUCCUUUAGUUAUGAAAAUAAUUAGCUUAAAGGUUCAGCUAAAAAGUAACUGUACAAAAGAAAAGAAUCACACACACAAUCUGACAGGGCAUGGCAUGCACACCCCCUCUUGUCUGUGCAUGAGGCCUCGCUCGUUGAUGACUGACAACUACUAUCAGAACUUACAUGCCAGGUAGCCUAUCGAUUAGUGCCUUCUUUUCUACUCACCUCUGUGGUUUAUUUUUUUAAAACUCCACUUGGUUAUUAAAAACUAUAUUACAUUUGUGCUCGUUUCAUCAAAGAUAUGUUCAGAUACUGACCAAUUCCUGUGAUUUUAUUAUGAAAUACUAUACUUGCAAAAAUGGAUGGAUCACUGUUUUUUUAUUUUUUAAAAAAAAUUUAAAACGAUAUAGAUUUUAGCUCUUCUCUUGCACAAGGUAAGAGUUGUUUUCUUGUUGGUUGCCUUCUGUUCAUCAGCGGUGUGGUGUUAUAAGUGGCCCCAACUCACCCUAUUUUGGAAUGCUUAAAAGAAUGUUAGAACAGACGCCAGAUAUCUUUUAUGGGAGGACCGCUCCUUUGGGCAAUAUCACUGGCAAGGUAUGAGUGUAUGCGAGAAAUGUUGGUUCAAGAUCCCUUUUUUUAAUAUCAUUUCUCAAUUUAUAUAUUUUCUGUGUAAUACUUUAUAUUUGAUGGUUUGCUCAUGUCAGAGUCCCGUAUCAUUCUCACAUGUCCAUUUUAAUUAAUGGUUCAAUAUUUAUCAUAGGUCCCUGUUGCCACUAAUCUAUUUUGGUGCUGCAUGUGCAUAUGUUUCCCUUCUAAUUGGAGUUACCAGAAGCAGAGUUUCAUCAUGUUAUUUGAGAUACAAUGCAUUGUUAACAUGCAUAUAAUAUCCACAUGGUUGCACUGAUAUUAAGCAGGGUGAGAUGUACUUCUGUUCUUGAACCUAUAAGCCUUUAAUUUUGUUUUUAGUAAUACAUGUAGGUCCAUGUUAUUGCUUUUGUGGUAUCAUUAUCUGUGGCAUGCAAAUUAAGCAGUAUUGUUGAUUAGGCUGAAUUUCCUCACCUCUUUUCGGUCUCCAACUUUUGUAACCCUCCUUUUCAUUUUUGAAUUGUUACUUAUUUCUUCUGGCCUUUGUUCAAGGACAGAUGUAAGCUUCUUCAAUAAUCGGAUUAUGUUUGGUCCUUCGCACAAAUAAAAAGCCAACAUAAUAGAAAUAAUAAAACUUGUUCCUGGCUUCCUGCAGUGUGAUAUAGAGUAUAGGCACUUUGCUUGUUUGCCACAUUCCUUUUCUAUGAUAUCAAAAUUUUCCAACUACAAACUGCAUCCUAGCCUCCUAGGUUGUGUAGGUUGUAUGUCACAAGGAAUGCCAAGACAACCUUAGCAGUGAUCAAAGGAACCUCAAUGGCGAUAAAAGGAAGCUCUGCAAAUACUAUUGUGCAAGCUAAUUAACAUCACCCCUCUUCUUAUCAGGUACACUUUAAUUAAUUCAUGCAUGGUGGGCAAUCGAUGAAAUUAAUUGAUAUUAUAUUUGAAGCUUCAAAAUAAUGUGACUAAUUUGUUCAUUUGGGGAAUGAUCUGAUGCUUUAUUGUUAAGAGAAUAGCAAGUAGUUCAUUAUGUUAUGAUCAUGACUGUACACAUUCUGUUUUUCGUAGUCAAGAGUGGGCCUACAUGCUUUGGGUAGAUUUAAUCAAGUUUGUUACAUAUGGCUAGCAGCUCAUCAAAGAGUUUGAGGUGUUGUUGAUGCCGAGCCUAUCCUGCUUCAUUCACAGCAAAAGCUAAUAUGUGACUUUUCUUUUUCUUCUUUCCUAUUAUUUAUGGACUGAGAGCUUAUGCAAGUUCUGAACUGAGCCAAUAUAUGCCUUUUCUUCUUCCCAUUUUUUUCCUAGCUUAUUCACAAUCAAUAAAUUUGGAAACGUGUGAGGGUGUAUUUUAUCUGAUCAGAGCUUUUGGAAUUUGGUACAACACUGAAUCCAUUUCAGAGUGGUGUGAUGGUGACUCAAAAAAGAGGCAAUUAUUUCAUUGGGAUUAUUUACAUAGGCUCAAAAUAGGGAAAGGGAGAGAGAGAGAUGAGAGAGGAGGGGAAGACAUGUUUGCUGGCUUAUUGUAGUUUCUAAUGUUUCUGACAUGAAUAUAUUUUUUCAGUGAGCAAUCUGAACAGUUCAGGUUUAGAGGGAUUUAGUCAAUGAGAACAGCACCAAGGAUUAGAACAGUUCAGGAUUAUUUUAUUGUUUUAACUGAACAUAAUAUAGAAGAGUUGAGUGACUUUGUCUACUAUUUUUUUCUCUACCAAAAUAUAGCUAUGGUCUUGGAAAAGUUUGGUAGUAACAUCACUUUGCCUUUUAUCUGAUUUGAUCCAUUCUGUUGCCUUAAGAACAUAUAAAAGUGUGAUUGCUAUUGAGUUCCAGUAGCUUCAAAUGUUGUAACACAUUGGAACAGCGAGCUUUGUGUCCGAAGUUGUAGAUGUCAUUAAGGAGAGAGAGGCAUUUGCCGGUGAUGGUAGCUAUGGUCCUCAUAAUGAAAGGUGGCGGUGGCACUCCUUGAUGCCAUGAUGGAGGACAUCAUUGCCCUGGUCAGGUACACUUCUGUGCAUAUAUGCAUUUGUGAUAACACUAAGUUUUACUACUCUGCUAUUGUCAUUUAGAGCAAUGACAAUACCUUUUAGCCUGAGACCUCCUAGAGAAGGUGUCUUAUUAUUUUAAAUCUUGUCAAGUUAACUUACUGAGUAAUGGUACUGAGUAAUUAGCCAUUUCUCAUUAUUCUAUUGACCAGAAGCAAAGACACUUGCAGCACUGAAUGUUUGUUUGAUUGAGAUGUGGUAUAUACAAUUGAGAACCAUGUGGAUGGAGUCAUUCAAUUUAGCUUCUUAUAGUUUCAGCUAUCGGCUGCAAAAUAUUCAACUCACCACAUAUAAUGCUUUUUUGUUAGCUUGUUAUUUUUUUGUUUGGAUCAUCUCUAAGCAUUAACGACUGAAUACGAAUGUAAAGGAUGAACAUUUCUACUCACAAGCUAUAUAUUUUUGGUGGAACAAGAGUUGGAAGCUUGAUGAACAGCAUAAAAGUGUUGAGAGGUUCAUAAUUCAGAUUUUCUUUUCUGUUCAGAUUCUAAUUUGACCACAUACAAGUGAAGCUGAAAUGUUGAAUGUACCGUUAUAGUGUUA